UGGGGAAUAUUGGACAAUGGGCGCAAGCCUGAUCCAGCCAUGCCGCGUGAGUGAUGAAGGUCUUCGGAUUGUAAAACUCUUUCGCCGGGGAAGAUAAUGACGGUACCCGGAGAAGAAGCUCCGGCUAACUUCGUGCCAGCAGCCGCGGUAAUACGAAGGGAGCUAGCGUUGUUCGGAAUUACUGGGCGUAAAGCGCACGUAGGCGGAUUUUUAAGUCAGGGGUGAAAUCCCAAGGCUCAACCUUGGAACUGCCUUUGAUACUGGAAGUCUUGAGAUCGGGAGAGGUGAGUGGAAUUCCUAGUGUAGAGGUGAAAUUCGUAGAUAUUCGGAAGAACACCAGUGGCGAAGGCGGCUCACUGGACGUGUAUUGACGCUGAGGUACGAAAGCGUGGGGAGCAAACAGGAUUAGAUACCCCGGUAGUCCCUGAGCGGGCUGGCAAGGCGCAU
rnacentral:rRNA from 1 species